rnacentral:rRNA from 1 species
CAGCAGCCGCGGUAAUACGUAGGUGGCAAGCGUUGUCCGGAAUUAUUGGGCGUAAAGGGCUCGCAGGCGGUUUCUUAAGUCUGAUGUGAAAGCCCCCGGCUCAACCGGGGAGGGUCAUUGGAAACUGGGAAACUUGAGUGCAGAAGAGGAGAGUGGAAUUCCACGUGUAGCGGUGAAAUGCGUAGAGAUGUGGAGGAACACCAGUGGCGAAGGCGACUCUCUGGUCUGUAACUGACGCUGAGGAGUGAAAGCGUGGGGAGCGAACAGGAUUAGAUACCCCAGUAGUCCCUGUCUCUUAUAU